AGACAAUUGAUUUUAAUGCAGCCCUUCUAAGUAUCUGCAAGAUUUCAACACUAGAUAUUACUAGAGCUUAUUAAUUUUACAUGAUUGAUAAAUUGGAUAACUAUUAGAAAUGUUAAAUUGUGUAUAGGAGAGAAUUAUGGUCUAAGCAAACAUUCAUACAGUCCAGUUACACUGAUUAGCAGUGUGUCAGUUCCGAUGUGUUCCUUUAAAUUUAGCCUGCCCUUUUUCAGAUGAAGCUCAGAUUCGAUACUGUGUAGAUUCAAGGUGUUAUUUGUGUGAAGAUUUACAUUUCCUACUGCUGCCACUAAACACGUUUCUCGAUCUUCAGCGGAUGUGCCAAGUUACCUUAGAAAUCAGAUAUCCCAAAAACCAUCAAAGACCCUGUUGGGAAGAAUGGCACUGAAUCUUUUCACGUUAGCAACAUGAAAAUUGGACGUCAUUCAGACCUGUGUCAUCGUGUAAAAGACCUUGAUUUUCU